rnacentral:rRNA from 1 species
AAACGGGGACGACCUGUUGAGUCAGGAGCCUGCACAGGUGGUGCAUGGCUGUCGUCAGCUCGUGCCGUGAGGUGUUGGGUUAAGUCCCGCAACGAGNGCAACCCUCACCCUAUGUUGCCAACGGGUUAUGCCGGGCACUCUUAGGGAACUGCCGGCGAAGAGCUGGAGGAAGGGGGGGAUGACGUCAAGUCCGUAUGCCCCUUAUGUCCAGGGCUACACACAUGCUACAAUGGCCGAUACAGAGGGUUCCCAACCCGCAAGGGGGAGGCAAUCCCACAAAGUCGGUCUCAGUUCGGAUUGCAGGCUGCAACUCGCCUGCAUGAAGUCGGAAUCGCUAGUAAGCGCAGAUCAGCAGGCUGCGCUGAAUACGUUCCCGGGCCUUGUACACACCGCCCGUCACACCACGAAAGCCGGUUGUACCAGAAGUCGCUGAGCCAACCGCAAGGAAGCAGGCGCCGAAGGUAUGGUCGGUGAUUGGGGUGAAGUCGUAACAAGGUAAGCGUAGUGCU